UUAAACCUACGGGAGGCAGCAGUGAGGAAUAUUGGUCAAUGGACGAGAGUCUGAACCAGCCACGUAGCGUGAAGGAUGACUGCCCUAUGGGUUGUAAACUUCUUUUAUAUGGGAAUAAAAUGUUCCACGUGUGGGAUUUUGUAUGUACCAUAUGAAUAAGGAUCGGCUAACUCCGUGCCAGCAGCCGCGGUAAUACGGAGGAUCCGAGCGUUAUCCGGGUUUAUUGGGUUUAAAGGGAGCGUAGGGGGGUUGUUAAGUCAGUUGUGAAAGUUUGCGGCUCAACCGUAAAAUUGCAGUUGAAACUG
rnacentral:rRNA from 1 species